AGGUGCCCACUUCUUCUCCCUGGAGGCAGCCAGUACUGUUAGUUGCCUGUAUAUUCCUCCAGAGAUGUUUUGUGCACAUAAAGAGAAAUCUCAUUGACCUAAGAUGGUUGGAGAAGGCCUUUCUGGAGAAUGAACAUUUUUGAUCAGAGUGGAGCAGAGAACAAGAUCCAGUUGGCUUGGCCAAACAUGGCACCAGGGAGCCGUGGAAGCCUCCUCAGCUGGGGAGUGAUGUUUCUGCGUCAUCAAACAUUUAUGACAAGACGGAGCAACACAGAGUGACUUGGAAUGAAUUCAACAGACCAAUAUUUUGAAAUCAGGGUGGCUUGACUUCCUUUAGAGAGAACAGUUCUCCCAUCUCUUCGAGGCAUCAUCCAGAGGAGGAAGAACAGCAAGGUUCCCAGUCCCAGAGAGCACAACUCUGGUCACACGUUCCAACUCACCGACCAUGAAGUAGCUUAACAGUCUUCUUCGAAUAAGUGAGAAGGAAGCUCCAUGUACCGAAGAGAGAGCCCUCCAGACCUGUGGUCAGACCUCGUUUCUCCUAUGACCUUAGGUCUGCCUGCUCUCCUGCUGAAGGGGAAAGCUCAUGUUGGCAAUGGCCAAGAAUUCCUCCAAAGAUUGAAAUUGCAGCUAGACCAGGAAAGUGAUCUGGCCGUAGGCGGAGUCCCCGCAGUAAAAGUGUUUCUGUAGCUGGGAGUUCACAGCUGCCGUAAAACCUAAAUGUCAGCAACUCCCGUGGUGUUGGAUCACGUGCUACCCCGCUUACAGCCAGCAGCCCUGACAUCGGGGCCAAGCAUCUCAGCAUGCAGAAGUUUCUGGGCCAGGGAUCAACCUGGUGCCACAGCAGGAACCAGAGUACAGCAGUGACAACUCCAGAGCCACCAGGAAACGCCCACAUUAACCUUUAAUUGGAGAAGUAAUUCACAGAAUACAUGCUCCCUGUAAAAGAUUUUAAAAGGUAAGCCCUAUAUCUCUUUUCACCACCUCUUCCAGUCUCCGAACCCCUCAGAGGCAGCCAGUUUUCAGUUCAGCAAAAGCUCUCAAUCAGUGCAUUUAAUUAGUUAUCCGUGUGCCUCUAUAAAAUGUGUAUCUGUGACCUAAGGAAAACUUGCAUAUUUCUGUACCUAUAGAAAAUGUGGAGGUUUUGUGUGGAUUUUUUUUUUUUACAUGAGUGAUAUCAUAUGGUACAUGUCUUAAUGUGAUUUUUUUCCCACAGCUGUCUGUCUCAUAGCCUUUAUUGUGUAUAUAUAAAUCUACCUUACUCUUCCAAAUGUUCCAUACAUUUCCAUGGGAUAGAUUUGGCCUAGUUUUGACUGCCAUUCUUCUAUGUACAAAUAUUUGGGUUGAUUUUUUGAUUUUUUAUUUCAUUUUUACAAAAAGUGCCAUGGUGCACAUUCUUUUACAGAAGCAAGUGUCUGAACAGAUUUUUUUUUUCCUCUAUAGAAGAAAUCAAGAAAUAGAAUUUCUGGGUCAUGGGACAUACACUGUUUUUAUUUUAAUGGAUAUUGCCAAAUUGCUGAGGUCAUUUUGAGUUUACUUUUAUCUUCUAGAUAAAAUCUCCUAGAAUCUUCUAGAAUGCCUUAGAUUGGAGCUUAAUUAUCAAAAUGUAAUUCUGAAGUAUUCUAUCAGGUAAGAUGGCAGGAAUGUGUAUUCAUUCCUUAGCCCAUCCGUCUCUGUCUUCUGAGGAUCCAGCAUGGCUCCUGAUAUGGUGUCGAGUCAAUAAAUGUUGCUUAGGUGGUCUCCUUUGCACCAGCCACACCCUCAAGGGGCCUCAGCCCGAAACCUGAUUCCUUUAUGCAGCUGCCAACCACCAGCUCAGCUUUCCAGACAGUGCUCAAAUAUCCCCUCUUUUUGGAAGCCCUCCCUGGAGUCCAGGCUGAGUAAGGCAGCUUCUCUUCUGUGUCCCCAUGGCACCCUUAUUUAUUGGCUUGUCAUGCUUAUUGCAAUUUGGAAUUUGGUCACCUCUCCCCUGUUACACCAGGCAGUCUCGGGAAUUCAGUGGUGCCUGGCCUUUAGGCAUCACCUGAUCAGUGUUUGUGGACUGCUGACAGAACAACAAGCAUGUAGGCCUGGCAGUCUGUCAGCUUGGAGAGAGAGAGGGCCAGGUGUAUGCAGUAUUCUUCAUAUCGAGCUUAAUAGGAAACGGCUGUAAGAAAUUAGAUGGCUAGGGUGGCUCAGUGGUAACAAACCCAGGUUCAAUCCCUGGCCCAGUUCAGUGGGUUAAGGAUCCCACAUUGCCGUGAGCUGUGGUAUGGAUCACAGAUGUGGCUUGGAUCCAGGGUUGCUGUGGCUGUGGCGUAGGCCAGCAGCAACAGCUCUGAUUCAACCCCUAGCCUGGGAACUUCCAUAUGCCACAACUGCAGCCCUAAAAAGCAAAAGAAAGAAGAAAAAAAAAUUAGGUGGCUAAUAAUUGACCCUUGACAGUGAUUAUGAUGCUGAUAAAAAUGAUGAAUGAUUGGUAAGAAGGGUAAAUAGUAAACUCUCUCACACAUAAAAAUUUAGAACCACAUCAUUUCACCUCUUGGGAAAAUGUUUAUAACACUCUUCACUUCAAUAUUUCGCCAUGAAACCUAGAAGUUUCUUAGGCAAUUUAUCUUUUCAAAUGCAUCUCAGGGAAUGACAAACAGUAGCCAGAAAGCUGCUCAAAGAGUUCGAGUAUGGCAGCUCAUGGUCAUAAAUCUCUGGGUAGGAUCCUGAUUCUGAAAAGAAACACGAGAAAAGACUGAAAUAAAUCUACCAAGGUGUUAAUCAUGGCAGCACCACUGGAGUUAGGGUGAUGUGUGAUAUUCUUUUCUUCUUUUUACUUUUCUCAAAUCUUUCAGAUUAUACCAUGUAUGUAAAUUCAUUUUACACACACAAAAAAACAAACCAAAACCGAAAACAGACAUAAUCAAAAACAUUUCUAGCAAUUAAUGAAGUUGCUAAGGAGGCAAUUUUAAAUCAUCUAUAAUGGGUGGACAUCUAUGACAUGAGAAUAUAAUUCCAAGAAGGCUAACCUGAGCUAUCAGUUCAUUUGAUAUGAAUUGGGUACUACAACCAAAGACUGUGCUUGGGGCGGGGCUUAAAGUGCAAACAUCAGGUAUACUUCCUACCCUCAGGCAGUUCACAGACUACUGCUAGCCACAAACUCAAGCCACUAAUGGGAGCCAGGCAGCAAAGAGAAAGGAAUGAAAUCCUCCAACAGGCCCUCCUCUAAUAUUUGCUAACAUUUGCUGGCCUUGGAAAAAGUUAAAUGGAAAUCCAUUUACCAGAUGGAUUUAAAACAAGUUAACAAAUCGAAGUGGCUUCUAGUUGUCUACCUUGACACAUGUCCCUUUAUAAUGGCUCUUCUUCUCUUCCCGUGCCUGACUCCAUCACCCAAAGUAGGGAACUUUGUGCAGGUGGAUGGACAGACAUCCUGGCCACACAUUUAAGCUUCAGUCCCUCCCCUUCCCCAUCCCCAGCUUUCUCUUGGCCACUUCUCAGGCACGGGGUAUGUUCCCUAGUAUACGAUUUGCCCUUGGGAGAACUAACUGAGAAAUAAGUCUCUGCAGGCUCUGGAAACAGGCUUGGGUCACAUGGGCAGGGAAUUCCAAGGCCCAGCAGCAUGAUCUAGAAGAGGCAGUGCUGCAUCCAGGCUGCAUGGGGUCAAGGGCAGAGGCCCACUUUGCCUGAAUCUUAGGGAAGCACUAUCCCCUGGGAGGGUUGGGACUCUGGUGUGUGCUGGAGAAUAAAUGCCCCAAGUUACAACAACAGCGGCUACUCAGCUCCAUCCAUGUGGGGACAUGGAUUCGGAGGGCCACAUCUUCUACUUUAUUUUAUUUAUUUACUUUCUUUUUAUAGCCACACCUGCAGCAUAUGGAAGUUUCCAGGCUAGGGAGUGAGUGGGAAUUAGAGCUGCCUACCUAUGCCACAGCCACAGCAACGCCAGAUCCAAGCCGCAUCUUCGACCCAUACCACAGCUCACAGCAAUGCCAGAUACUGAACACACUGAAUGAGGCGAAGGAUGGAACCUACAUCCUCAUGGAAAAUAUAUAUCAGGUUCUUAACCUUGAGCCACAGCGGGAACUCCCACAUCUUCCACUUUUUAAAGAGAGGACACAAACCUGGGCUUUCUUAUGGAAUUGCAUCAUUUUUACAUGUAAGCAAGGAAUAACAAUAAUUUUAAAACCAAAGAAUCAUUCUGCUGGGCAAAUUGAAAAUAUCCGUGAACCACUGUGACCUCUAUGAAAGGAAAGAAAUUUAAAAUCCCAUUUACAUGUUGCUUGACCACUGUUUGGUUUUGAAAAUGAUAUUCACCAAUUCAUUAAUGUCACUUAAGCCCAUAAGUAAGUGAUACAUCUCCGUAGCUAUAUAUAUGUCUGAACUUCAUGCACUUUCUGUUCCGCAGCAGAAAUCUAAUUUACUUGGUACUCCUAGUACUGAUGUAUGUCCCCAUAAGCUAUCAGGAAAGACCUGGUUUUUGGAUCUGCACAUUUUUCUUCCUGGACGUUGACUUUCCUCAUGUCCUCCUCUGGCCUACCGUAAUAACCUGGGCACAUACCUCUCGCUGCAUUUCCCAUAUUGUGCUAUCUUUAGCUCUAUACAUGUUUGUCACUUCAAGAAUUAUCUCCAGGAGUUCCCGUCGUGGCGCAGCAGAAACGAAUCCGACUAGGAACCCUGAGGUUGCAGGUUCGAUCCCUGCCCUCACUCAGUGGGUUAAGGAUCUGGCGGUGCCGUGAGCUGUGGGGUAGGUUGCAGACGUGGCUCAGAUCCCACGUUGCUGUGGCUCUGGUGUAGGCUGGCAGCUGUAGCUCCAAUUCGACCCCUAGCCUGCAAACCUCCAUAUGCCAUGAGUGUGGCCCUAAAGAGCAAAAAAAAAAAAAAAAAAAAGAAUUAUCUCCAUGUUCCCAGGGCCCAUCACAGAGCCUGUCAUGUGGUGGAUGCCUAGCACCAUUUGUUUGUUCUAACUGACUUUGUCAGUGGUUGAUUCUCUGUGAUGACCCACAUCUCCCCAAUCACAAAAUAAUAAUAAUCAUAGGAGACAUUUCUUGGACACUUAAAUAUAGGUAGGUGCCAUGCCAGGAGCUUUAUGUAAAUUACCUCAUAUGAUUCUUUCAACUAACUGCUCAACACAUUUUUUAUCCCCACUUUCCAGGUGCAGAAACUGAGACUCAGGGACACAAAAAGCCCUGUGUGCGUUUUAUUCAGCUGGCAAAUGUCAGGGGUGGGACUUGAACCAAUCUUGCCUGAUUCCAAAGUACACCAUUACAUAACCAGUAAGCCAGACUUCCCUAAAAGGGUCACUCCCACUUCUUGAGAUGUUUUAGGUAGCACAGAGGAAUUCAUUUCAAUUACUAAGCAUUUGUUUGACUCAAUGUUUAUUUUAGUGUGUUUGAAAAGGCAAAUAAAUGAC
rnacentral:lncRNA from 1 species